AUUUAAUCCCCAAGAAAACCCUCUCUCAGCAACAAAACCCUCUGCCAAAUCUGUGAAAAUCAAGAAAAACCCUAAUCGCAAGAACUGUAUUGUGGGUAUUCUUUCUCUUCUCCUCCUCUAUCAGUAUCUGCUUUCAAUGUUUCAGUGAACUCGGUUUAUUGAAAUGUGUCAAUAUCAACCAUGGGAAGAUGAUUCCCCUUUGGAUGAAGAUUAUGCACAAAACAAUACAAAUGAUACAGACCAUGUCGAUCCGAGAUUGGAAAUUCGGCUGGCAAUGUUGGAAGCACGAAUUUCGAGGGUCGAGAUGAAUAUGGAAAGGCUCGAGGCAAGGAUGUUGCGCCUGCAAAGAGGAAUCCAUGUUGUCUGUGUGAUGCUUUUGGUUACUCUUACUUAUGCUAUUUGCAAAUAAAGUGUUGAGAUGUUAAAACACGGUAGAUAUUCGCCCUUACAUAUGAUGAAAUCCAUUCAAUCCACAAUUUUCGGGAACAAGGUAAUGAAGAUCCUGUUUAAUCUAGUGCUCGAUUCUGCUAUUCCUGAUCUGAAAUACAUGUACAGUGAUGGUUGAGAAAUCUACAGUUGAUGGAGCACAUUAGUACCAAAAAUUUUCCGAAUCUUGGCGCUCAUGGUCAUGGGCCCUUAAUUCGCAUUUUUUGUUACUAGCCCUUUAACUUGUAUUUUAUCAGCUCUCUUUCUUGAAGGAUCAUGUUGAUCCACACAUCAGAUUUUCUGUGAGGCUGAAUUAAUGCGACUAAUGCCUUGAUGAUGGAGAA